rnacentral:SRP_RNA from 1 species
GCUAGGUUUGGUGGCACACGCCUACAGCCCCAGCUACUUGGGAGGCUGAAGCAGGAGGAUCCCUAGAGCCCAGGAAUUCUGGGCUGUGGUGCACUAUGCCGGUUGGGUGUAAGUUUGGCAUCAAUAUGGUGGUGAUCUCCCUGAAGCGGGAAACCACAAACUUGCCUAAGGAGGGGUGAACCCAGCCCAGAUUGGAAAUGGAGCAGGCCAAAACUCCCAGGCUGAUCAGUAAUGGGAUCUUGCCUAUGAAUAGCCAGUGCACUGCAGCCUGGGCAACAGAGUGAGAACCUGUCUUA